rnacentral:rRNA from 1 species
CCUACGGGUGGCAGCAGUAGGGAAUAUUGCUCAAUGGGGGAAACCCUGAAGCAGCAACGCCGCGUGGAGGAUGAAGGUUUUCGGAUUGUAAACUCCUUUUGUUAGAGAAGAUAAUGACGGUAUCUAACGAAUAAGCACCGGCUAACUCCGUGCCAGCAGCCGCGGUAAUACGGCGGGUGCAAGCGUUACUCGGAAUCACUGGGCGUAAAGCGCGCGUAUGCGGGAUAGCAAGUCAGAUGUGAAAUCCUAUGGCUUACACAUAGAACUUCAUUUGAAACUGUUAUUCUAGAGUAUGGGAGAGGUAAGUGGAAUUCUUGGUGUAGGGGUAAAAUCCGUAGAGAUCAAGAGGAAUACUCAUUGCGACGGCGACCUACUAGAACAUAACUGACGCUGAUGCGCGAAAGCGUGGGGAGCAAACAGGAUUAGAUACCCUAGUAGUC